CUAUGACACUGUCGCGAAUUGGGG
rnacentral:miRNA from 1 species